rnacentral:lncRNA from 1 species
UCAGAGCUCCUCAAUUCCCAUCUGAGGUUCUUUGAGAUGAAAAUGUCUUUGUUCUAAUCUAUCUUCCUUCUGCUAUAGGUGAAUGCAACAGUCCCAUGUUUGAAAUACAUCUUGUCCUGACAUUAGACUAACAUGAGGACCUUCACAUAAAGUAAAUCCCGUUGUGCAGAGGGGGGAAGCAAGAGUCUCAGUUGUUUGGUCAAAAUCCUAUACCAGGGCACAAAGUUCAUUCAGGAAUUUUUUACCUUUGGGCCACUGAUGGGGAUCCUGGGCUAUGACAUUCUUCCUAAAAGGUGUAACACCAAAUUUGGCUAGAUGGGGGAGGAUGGAUGAAAUGAACUUUUAAGAAGACUUGCAGUCUGAAUGUAUUUUUAACUAAUGCAUUGUUAAGAGAUUUCCCAGUAGGUCUGGAUUCCUAGGGUUCAAAACUUCAGUGCAUUCCUGGAUAUUGACUGCAAAUCUCUAUUCUUGAUCAAUAGUAUAAUCACUUCUCUCUCCUAUCUAGCAGAUCAGGUUUUGGGUAAGACAAAUUGUCAGGCAAUACAAUUAGGAUAAAAAAUAUUUCUUGAAGUUGAAAAGAUAAAUCAAUAUCAAUAUGACUAAAUUGAGCAGGGACACUCCCUCCCAACCUCCUUAGUGCCAGUCCCUUUCCUAGUGGAAGGACUUUUAAGAAUUUACUACAUAGGGUUUAAGCUUGGAAUUUUUCUUAACAUAUGCCAUACACACUUUCCUAUGUCAUUAAAUGUUACUCAGAAAGAUCAUUUUCACAGACAUGAUGUUCAAUCUUACAUAUAUGCUGAAAAUCUUACAUAUAUGCUGUAGUAUAUUUAACAUUCCCCUACUUUAGCUACGUAUAUUGUUUCCAUUGUUUAAUCUUAUAAUGUUACAAUGAUUACCCUUUCAUAUUAAAAAUAACAGGAACAAUGUCAGGCAUUUAUUUAGGCUCAAAGGCAAUCACAAAAUUAUAGUUUCUCUUUGUCUAGUUUCCCAGCAAUUUCUAGGGUGGGAGGAGAUCUAGAACGUUUUGGUUGCUCACAAAUGCAAUUAUUUCCUAACAGCGUGGCCAGUAUGUUGUUCAAGUAUGGCAAACACUGGCACCCUAUUCAGAUCAGGGAGACAUUCGUUCACUGUUCUAUGCUCUGUGCUAGGCACAUUAUAUUUGAAAUACUAUGCCUGUUCCAGAUACCACCCUUCAUAAGCAACAUGGACCAACAUUUAGAGGAGAUCAAUAAAAUCUUGUAUUAUCAAUGAGUAAUGGCUGAGAGAAGGGAGAGGUUUAACCUUGAGGAAGAGAUCAGCCUAAGGUUAUGAGACCAGAGAUUUCAAAUACAGGAAAGAACAUUCUGGAGAAGAAGAAUUUAGAUUUACCCCCAUGCUUGAAAGCUAUAGGAGGAUUUCAGAGGAUGUGGCCUAGAACAAUUUAGAAAAUAAUAAAAGGAAAGCUAGUGACACCCUAUGGACUUUGCCAGAUUGCCUCUUCCCAUCUGAGGACUGUGAGGUUGGAAGAGCAGGGUUAAGUUAGAGAUGGCCUAGAUAUGAAACAGCUGGCUCCUCUUCUUGGCCAAGGUUCCAUCCUUGCCUCUAGCCACCUUCUAUACUUACCUCAGGCAAGUUCAUCUGCCUCCAAGUCUUUAACACCCACUUAUCCAAACAUGAUUUUCCCAUCUACAUCUCCAGCCCUUGCCUUUCUUCUGAGCUCCAUUACUAUCUGGAGAAGAGUCAUCACAGUUUAACUGUGAUGGAGGGGCACCUGGGUGGCUCAGUGGUUGAGCCUCUGCCUUUGGCUCAGGUUGUGUGUCUCUGGAUUGAGUCCCACAUGCCCUGCAGGGAGCCUGUUCUCCCUGUGCCUGUGUCUCUGCCUCUCUCUGUAAAAUAAAAUCUUUUUUUUUAUUUAUUCAUGAGAGAGAGAGAGAGGCAGAGACACAGGCAGAGGGAGAAGCAGGCUCCAUGCAGGGAGCCCGACAUGGGACUCGAUCCCGGGUAUCCAGGAUCACUCCCUGGGCUGAAGGCGGCGCUAAACCGCUGAGCCACCCAGGCUGCCCAAAUAAAUAAAAUCUUAAAAAAAAAAAAAAAAAAAAACGUGAUGGAUCAAAAUCAAGAUGUAUCUCCCUGUCUUCAUUAGUUAGGACUCUUGAUUGCAGGUGUCGAAACUCAACAGUAACUACCUGAGGCAAAAGUGUAAUUUAUUGGCUCAUGUUAACCAAACUGUAGGACGGGCAGGAAUCAAACUAGCAUCAGGGAUGCCUGGAAUCAGGGACUGAAAGGCCAUCAGAACUCACUUUCCUUCUGUCUCUCAUUCCGGCUUCUCUCCACAUGUUAGUUUCCAUUUUUCUCUACUGAAGACCAACUUCUCUCACAGAUGAGACAUAACCACUGGAAUCUCUGUAUUUACAACUUCACAGACUCAUCAUCAGAAAAGAAAAGUUCCUCCCCUUAGUGCCAAUUCAAAAUUCAGAAUUAUCAAGGAAGGUCUCUGGGUCACACGUUGACCAUGUUGACCAAACACUCAGAUAAGAUGAAGAGAAUAAGACAGUAGGACUGGACCAGCAUGCAUCUGGCAUGCAUCCACCAGAACAAUCAUUAUAGCUAAGGAAAUGGGGUCACAUUAAAAAAGAAAAAGAAAAAAAAAAGAAAAAAGAAAGGCAGCUCUCAUUAGGUUCAUGAAUUCACAUAGGGCAGAGGUAUUCACAGGUAUGUCUGCUGUUCCCAGGAAAGGGGCAGCAUACAGUAGACAAAACAUUAAUGCCCACUGCAUUCUCCAGCAAUGGUCUGUCUCCCAUAUUCUUCAUCCCUACCAAUGACAUCACUUCUCAUCCAGUUUUGCAAACUGUGCCUCAGCUUCUUAAAAACUUUGGUCAAUUCCUCAAAGAUCCACAUUCCUUAGCUUAGAAUGCAAAUCCCUUCCCAAUCUGGCUCCAACUUACCUUUUCAGACUUAUCUCUUUUAAUUCUGUUCCACUCCCACACUCUGCUUUCCUCACAACCACCGUGCUGUCACAUUUGCUUACUCUUCCUCAGACACACAGAUCCCAUCCAAGCUCUGCACAUUUGUCCACACAUUCCUCUUUGCCUGCAUUUUUUGUCCUUUCUCAUUUUUGUCACCUUCAAGAUUAGGUAUAAUAUCUAGAAUAUCUAGAAUUUUUGUCCUUAUUCUACCCUUCAGGCACAUCUUGUAUUUCCCAUGACAUAUUAAUUCAUCUGUCUGACAAGCACUUAUUACAUGGAAUUAUCAUUUAUUUGUUUAGGUACUUGUCUCCUCACUAGGCCAAGAGCUCUUGGAAGGCAAGGACUAUUCAUUGUUCAUCUUUUUUUUUUUUUUUUUUAAAUUAUUUAUUUAUGAUAGUCACAGAGAGAGAAAGAGAAAGAGAGAGAGGCAGAGACACAGGCAGAGGGAGAAGCAGGCUCCAUGCACCGGGAGCCCGACGUGGGAUUCGAUCCCGGGUCUCCAGGAUCACGCCCUGGGCCAAAGGCAGGCGCCAAACCGCUGCGCCACCCAGGGAUCCCUCAUUGUUCAUCUUUGAAGUCAGUCCUAGCAAAGGGCCUGGAAUGUGAAUGGCUAUCAUCUGACACAUAGUGGAUGGUCAAUAAAUGUAGAAUAACUAAAGCAAUAAUUAACAUUUUCUAACUUAUAGAAUUCAUUUGGUAGUUUUAAUAACUGAAACCACAUAUUACCGAAACUAUGGCUUUGUUUUUUUUUUUGUUUUUUGUUUUUUUUAGGAAGUGAGAGUUAAUUAAGAGAUAAUGAGUGGGCUCAUUUGUUUUCAUUAUUUCUACCCAAAAUACUUCAUUCACAUUUGCCAAAUGCUAUUGCAUUGUCCUCCAUCCAGUCAUAUGCUGAAUGUAUGUCAUGUUUUUGAAGGCUUUUCAGUGUUCUGUUAGCCCAAACUGUAAAUAGAUUUUCUCUUCCCUGGGUUCCAGAGUGCACACUGCACCACUGGCAAGAAAAUGAAUAUUGUAUCUGUGGAGCUGGCUAUACACUAAGCAAUUCACAUACCUGUUGGUUAGUCAUGGGUUCUCCCCCUAGGUGAAUAGAUUUCAAUAGCAAAGAUCCAAACAGUUGUGCAGUUUGUAACAAGUGAAUUGUAUUACUAAAUAAGAGCCUUUAUUUUUGAGUGAUAUGACUUUUGUCUAGGUCCUCAGAGUUUAUUCAAGAUUAUUCUUACCCCAUCCCUCUGCAAUUUGCUUUCCCACACAGGAGGUGAAGGCAUAAAAUACAGCUAGAGGCCUCCCACAAACCCAUCAUAUUCUCUGCUGUUGCCUCUUCCCCUCUGAGGGUUGUGAGGUUGGAAAAGCAGGGUAAAAUCAGAGAUGGCCCCAGACACCUCGGGGCAUUCCUCAAAAUCUAGAUUAUCUAUGAGGCUGUUUCCUGCUUGUGGAAGUCAUGUAUCCUGUGUGACAGCAGGGGGAAUACCUGAGAAGUAACAAGCUAGAUCACAUGGCUUCCUGUGGAAUCAUUCCUCUUAUUAGAAUAAACUGGACUCUCCAAGGUCAUCUGGUAAGAGGGUCAACUUUCUUUAAAACACCUCUGGCUACACUAAAAGUACCCUCAAUCUUUGCUAUUUUAGUAUAUUUUGCUUAUCAUUUAGCUUUCCCUUUAUUUUAGUAUAUUUUGCUUAAUAAUUAGUCUUCUGUCUACC